rnacentral:lncRNA from 1 species
AAUAGCCACUUUUAGUUCCAUUAGAUCUUCGAGAACAGUGCACUCUACAACGAAGUUGGCCAAAGCUUGAGCUUUAAUGGAAGGUCGAGGUUUGAAUUCUACUCCAUACUUCAUGAGUUCAAUUGCCUAUUUUGCUAAUCAUCCGAAAGUAUCAGCAUGAUUUAAUGUUGCCCUCAAAGGUUGAUCAGUCACAACUACGAUCGAAUGUACCUAAAAAUAUGGCUAGAGCC